UACGGAGGGGGCAAGCGUUGUUCGGAAUUACUGGGCGUAAAGGGCGCGUAGGCGGCACAGCAAGUCGGGAGUGAAAGCCCGGGGCUCAACCCCGGAACUGCUUUCGAAACUGCUGAGCUAGAGUACAGAAGGGGCAACCGGAAUUCCCAGUGUAGCGGUGAAAUGCGUAGAUAUUGGGAAGAACACCUGAGGCGAAGGCGGGUUGCUGGGCUGAUACUGACGCUGAGGCGCGGAAAGCCAGGGGAGCAAACGGG
rnacentral:rRNA from 1 species